AACUCUUUUUCAGAUCCAGAAGGAUAGAAUCCAUGGCGGAGCGCCCCAUUCCGGAUGCAGGGCUUCGGCCGAGCAGGAAGUCAAGCCGGAUAGCAGCAAUCAAGUUGAAGAGGGCAAGGCAGUCCACUCGGAGUAUGCCAGGCCCCCGUCACCAGCCACCUGAUGGACGUGGUUUGCUGCUUUCGUGAGCCCUGUGGACGUCCGACAGGACUCGGUGAUGAAGCCUUUGCUUUUUCUGUUUAAAGGUGGCACCCGGGUAGCCUUUGGCAAUGGCGGAGGAGUUGCAGCGGACCCUGCGACGACAGCGUGGCCUCCGAGCACGGCGCAAUCGUGCCGUCCGAGGACCCGGGCAU